rnacentral:rRNA from 3 species
AUUUGAUAGUACCUUACUACAUGGAUACCUGUGGUAAUUCUAGAGCUAAUACAUGCUAAAAACCCCGACUUCAGGAAGGGGUGUAUUUAUUAGAUAAAAAACCAACGCCCUUCGGGGCUCCUUGGUGAAUCAUAAUAACUUAACGAAUCGCAUGGCCUUGCGCCGGCGAUGGUUCAUUCAAAUUUCUGCCCUAUCAACUUUCGAUGGUAGGAUAGUGGCCUACCAUGGUGGCAACGGGUAACGGGGAAUUAGGGUUCGAUUCCGGAGAGGGAGCCUGAGAAACGGCUACCACAUCCAAGGAAGGCAGCAGGCGCGCAAAUUACCCAAUCCCGAUACGGGGAGGUAGUGACAAUAAAUACUGAUACGGGGCUCUUUUGGGUCUCGUAAUUGGAAUGAGAACAAUUUAAAUCCCUUAACGAGGAACAAUUGGAGGGCAAGUCUGGUGCCAGCAGCCGCGGUAAUUCCAGCUCCAAUAGCGUAUAUUAAAGUUGUUGCAGUUAAAAAGCUCGUAGUUGAACCUUGGGUCUGGCUGGCCGGUCCGCCUCACCGCGAGUACUGGUCCGGCUGGACCUUUCCUUCUGGGGAACCUCAUGGCCUUCACUGGCUGUGGGGGGAACCAGGACUUUUACUGUGAAAAAAUUAGAGUGUUCAAAGCAGGCCUUUGCUCGAAUACAUUAGCAUGGAAUAAUAGAAUAGGACGUGUGGUUCUAUUUUGUUGGUUUCUAGGACCGCCGUAAUGAUUAAUAGGGAUAGUCGGGGGCGUCAGUAUUCAGCUGUCAG